rnacentral:tRNA from 1 species
AUUAAGGUAGCUCAAGAAGAGUAUUGCAUUGAAGCUGCAGUGGUGGCUAUGGCCUCUUAAUA